rnacentral:lncRNA from 1 species
AUGACCACAGACAGGAAUGAUUUCCUGUGGCGCUCUGUAGUGCAUCUGGGUGAGAGGAGUCUUCUGCUGAAGGUGCUCCUCUGCUGGGCCAGUGUGUCGCAGAGAGGGUGAGAGACAUUGUUCAAGAUGGACUGAAGCCUGGACAGCAUCCUCCUCUCUGCCAUGGUCGUCAGGGUAUCACUGAGGCAUUGGCAACUGAGAAAAGCUCUCAGAGUGGGCCAAUAAAUUCAGCAGACAGUAAAGCAGGUGAGGUGCUGGAGCAGCAGGCAGAGCCAGCUGAUGACCCUCAACCCCCAUCAAAGAAAGCAAUGGACUCUUGUGCUCUGGCUGAUCUCCUGGGGAACACAUAUACUCCAGUAGCAGUUUCCAGAACCACAAAUGACAAGGCAUUCGAUGAGGUGAUGAGGUACAAAGAGGUAAAACCACUGCCACUCUUCAUCAAUCCACUCAACUGGUAGAGGGAACAUGAGGGGGAAUACCCCCUUUUGUCAUGCCAAGCUAAACGAUACUUCUGUAUCCCAGGAACCAGUGUACCAGCUGAGAGGAUCUUCUCAACAGCUGGUGAUAUUGUCACAGCCCAGAGAAGUGCACUUUUGCCUGAACAUGUGGACCAACUGAUUUUCUACAAAAAUCUAAAUGUGCACAUCUAGUAUGUAACCAGAAAUGAAGUCACUUGGUUCUGAUGUGUUUGUUGUUCAAUAAUGUUAUGUGAGCUAUAUCACAGUUUCCAAGAGGGAAGAAAUAUAAUUUAAGUUUACAUGCACUUUACUUCAAUGUUAAUACAGUACUGUCAGGUUUUUUUAAACUUUUGUACUGUUUUUAGUAUUAUUGUGCUAAUGCUUUAUUUUCAGAUGUGUUAUUGCUCAACGAUGCUAUGAGUUAUAGCAUGGCUGUUAAUAUGGGCAUGAAAAUAAAUAAUUAUUUUUAAAAAAUCAACAGGUACUCGAAUUAUUUGUGUGAUUCUACUUAUUACUGAAUCGAUAUUGAAGCAUUUAAAUCAAUAUCGAAUCGAAAUCGAAUUGUGACCUAAAGAAUCGAAAUCGAAUCUAAUCAUGAGGUUCUUAACAAUACCCAGCCCUACUAACCAGGGCACAACAGGUGAACACAAAUGCGGGAGAAGUAACGGAAAUGCUGCAUUCAAGUGCUGCCAGGAUAAUCGGAAAAAUUAUUUCAAACUUCAAAUGAAUAUAACCUAUACAUUUUGCUUAGAUGUAACGUGUAAUACAAUAUUUAAGUUAAUU